GAGACAUGAUAUCCGUCGAAAAACAUAAACGCAAUGUUUCCACCAGUGAUGUUAGCCGAAUGAAGCAACUGCAAACCAAGAAACGGGGUGCUACGGAGUAGUUUACUGUAGGCGGCUGUACGAGGCAAUGACAACAGACAUGCAUUCUGACGACCAUGGUGUAGUGG